rnacentral:rRNA from 1 species
AUUGAACGCUGGCGGCAGGCCUAACACAUGCAAGUCGAACGAGUGGCGGACGGGUGAGUAAUGUCUGGGAAACUGCCCGAUGGAGGGGGAUAACUACUGGAAACGGUAGCUAAUACCGCAUACCAUCGGAUGUGCCCAGAUGGGAUUAGCUAGUAGGUGGGGUAACGGCUCACCUAGGCGACGAUCCCUAGCUGGUCUGAGAGGAUGACCAGCCACACUGGAACUGAGACACGUUCCAGACUCCUACGGGAGGCAGAAGUGGGGAAUAUUGCACAAUGGGCGCAAGCCUGAUGCAGCCAGGCCGCGUGUAUGAAGAAGGCCUUCGGGUUGUAAAGUACUUUCAGCGAGGAGGAGUUACUCGUAGAAGAAGCACAGGCUAACUACGUGCCAGCAGCCGCGGUAAUAC